CCUACGGGAGGCAGCAGUGGGGAAUAUUGCACAAUGGGCGCAAGCCUGAUGCAGCCAUGCCGCGUGUAUGAAGAAGGCCUUCGGGUUGUAAAGUACUUUCAGCGGGGAGGAAGGGAGUAAAGUUAAUACCUUUGCUCAUUGACGUUACCCGCAGAAGAAGCACCGGCUAACUCCGUGCCAGCAGCCGCGGUAAUACGGAGGGUGCAAGCGUUAAUCGGAAUUACUGGGCGUAAAGCGCACGCAGGCGGUUUGUUAAGUCAGAUGUGAAAUCCCCGGGCUCAACCUGGGAACUGCAUCUGAUACUGGCAAGCUUGAGUCUCGUAGAGGGGGGUAGAAUUCCAGGUGUAGCGGUGAAAUGCGUAGAGAUCUGGAGGAAUACCGGUGGCGAAGGCGGCCCCCUGGACGAAGACUGACGCUCAGGUGCGAAAGCGUGGGGAGC
rnacentral:rRNA from 1 species